rnacentral:lncRNA from 1 species
CAGAAGGUCUUGAUGGUAAGGUAUGUCUUUUUGCUGAUGAUACUAAGAUAUGUAACAGGGUUGAUGUUCCAGGAGGGAUAAGCCAAAUGACAAAUGAUUUAGGUAAACUAGAAAACUGGUCAAAAUUGUGGCAACUGACAUUUAAUGUGGAUAAGUGCAAGAUAAUGCAUAUUGGACUUAAAACCCAAGGGCAGAGUACAGAAUAUUUGAUAGAGUCCUAAUCUCAACAUAUGAGGAAAGGGAUUUAGGGGUGAUUAUUUCUGAUGACUUAAAGGUAGGCAGACAAUGUAAUAGAGCAGCAGGAAAUGCUAGCAGAAUGCUUGGUUGUAUAGGGAGAGGUAUUAGCAGUAGAAAGAGGGAAGUGUUCAUGCCAUUGUACAGAACACUGUUGAGACCUCACUUGGAGUAUUG